CACCUGAAAGGUAGUCCCGACCAGUCCCCUGUGGGCUGCCCGUGGUGGCUGGCCGCUUCCCAGGCCAUGUGUGCACCCUGCCGGGAGGAGUGACCCCAGAGAGGCCCUGGGAGGUAGGCUUGCCCUUCUCUGCCCUCAUUAUAGCUGUCAUUUGUCACCAGUCAGGGCAAGCUCAAUGCCAGACCCCUGUGGGUCAGUGCCACCCUCAUUCCCUAUCAGCUGACCCCCUCUCUCCUCCUUGGAACUGCUGAACCCCUGUGAUCCCACGGUUGGCUGAGUGGACUGGACCUGCUUAUCUUACGCUCCCGCCCGGCCGCAGGUGGCUCAGCGGCCCCUCAUCUUUUUACUCUCCUGCUUGCUUCAGGGUUUAGUCCUGAGAAGGCCCUGGCUACAGGCUGGGGGGGCUCGUUUGCUUGCAUCUUUCAGUACUCAGCAGAAUUAGGCACCCCCGAAAGUUGGUUUAUUUGACUGCCACUCAAUAUUUCAUUCUAAUGGAUAACAUGUUCUAACACUAGCACUAGAGAUUAGAGGUGGAAAGGUCUGACGAAGGACCACCCUCUAACGCAUUUUUAAGUGAAAAAAAUUGUUCUUUUGAAAAAGAAGCCCUCCAACCGCACCUUCACGUUCAGCCCUGCUCUAACCGCCACUGGGGCACCUGUUGUGUGUCAGGCUCUGUGUCAGGAGGGAAACGCGGCAGAGAUGCUACUGGCCCUCAUGGAGCUCACCGUCCGCCAGGGAACCAGAUGACAUGGGCGUCUCUAUACCAACACCCAACUUACUGUGGUCCAGAUACUCAGAGCAGAAGCACUAAGUUUUCAUAAGGUAUUUUUGCCCGCAUUGGGUCCUCGUCGCUGCGCGUGGGCUUUCUCCAGUUGCCAUGAGCGGGGGUCACCCCUUGUCGUGGUGCGCGGGGCCUCUCCCUGGGGGGGCCCCUCCCGCCGUGGAGUAUGGGCUCCAGAGCGCAGCCUCAGCAGUUGUGGCGAACGGGCCCAGCUGCUCUAUGAGCCAAGAAGAAGUAAAUGAUAUUUAGAACUGAUACCGACAUCGUGUUAACCUCGCUCUCGUCAUUCUGGGAGGAUCAAGGAGAAUGAUUCAUUAAAAAAAAAAAACAACCCUAAAGACUUCAGUUACACACAUUCACCUUGUUAUCAUUUUUUGACAGUUUUUUUCCCUCAAGUGUCAAAACUAAGAACUAUUUCACCUUUAAAUACUUUCUAUCGUCAACGGCUGCUCUGUUGUGAGGGAUGUGACCUGGGUUCUCAAGGAAACAGUAAUAUAACAGAACUUUCUUUUCAACUGAAUUUGAGAGUAUUAGUUUAUUUUUUAAUCUGUUAUUAUAAAUGCCUUACAAAUGCUGAGUUACUCGGCUUUAUUUUUGUUUUGUUUUUUUUUUUUUUUUUUUUUUUUUACUCGGCUUUAUUUUCUAAUCGUGGGGCUAACAGUUUUUUGGAAAUUCACUAAUGGAGGUGGAAGAGAACUAUAGGCUCCUUAAUCCAUCUCUCAACCCUAACAAGCUGCUCAAAGGAUGAGUCUGAGCUGAGAUGUUAAGGGU